rnacentral:lncRNA from 1 species
CACUGACCUCUGUGUUUGCAUCUCUGUGUUAGGAGCACAGAGACCAGUUUUUAUCUUCUCCUCCUUAGGCUUGUCACCGUGGGCUAAUGUAAGGCUUCCUCGUGGUCAUGAAUUCUGUGGUUGCAUUUGAUGUGUUAAGGGUUAGGAGAACAAAAUGCUGAAACUGAUUUUAGCCUCUGUUGUCACCAAGACUGUGAGACCAAGAACAGAUGCAUCUUCCAGCGUCAUGAGCUCUCCGGUUGCCUGUGUCUAA